rnacentral:rRNA from 1 species
UACGUAGGGUGCAAGCGUUGUCCGGAAUUAUUGGGCGUAAAGAGCUCGUAGGCGGUUCGUCACGUCGGCUGUGAAAUCCCGAGGCUCAACCUCGGGUCUGCAGUCGAUACGGGCGGACUGGAGUACUGCAGGGGAGACUGGAAUUCCUGGUGUAGCGGUGAAAUGCGCAGAUAUCAGGAGGAACACCGGUGGCGAAGGCGGGUUGCUGGGCCGACACUGACGCUGAUGCGCGAAAGCCAGGGGAGCGAACGGG